GAGCCAGGUACAGAGUGGCAAGGGGUUUGUGAGCAAGUGAUCGUGGGGUCUGGCCACUGCACACAGCCAGGCACGCCAGCUGCUGCGGCAGGGCAUGCAGCUCCAGGAACCGGCACCGGCACCAGCUCCUUGCGAGGCUGCAGCUGGACCAGGUGUACCACAGGCGGCUUCCGCUGCAAGUACCAGGGUCUGGAUGAGGGGAACACAGUGGCACCCAAAAACCUGAGUGAGACGCCAGCAACCACAGAGGCCAAAGAGACUUCUUAAAGCUAAUUUCCAACUCUUCCUGCCUGCAAUGAAGAGCAAGAAGUGAUUAAACUGUUCAAUUGCACAAUCAACUGACAAACAACAAUCUACAUGACACCUUCAAGAAAGGGAUUAAUCUCCACAUGGCACAAAGAUACCAUCAAGGAUACAACAUACAUGAAGUUGUCACAUCUCUUUAAGCUCAUCUUAGCAGCCACUAUUCCUCAGAACUUUCUUUGGCUUUGAUGACCUUUUCAGUUUUUGAGAAGUAUUGGUCAGGGUAAUCUAUGCCUUUUGAACCACUCUUUACAAAAUCUUCAUCCUGCCUUUGCUACUAACAACUUCACCAAACCACUGGAAGAGGAACUAUAUGAGUGAAAAAAUCACAUCAUUCUUCCUCAGCAUUUGUAUUAGUUUGUUCUUAUGCUGCUGAUAAAGACAUACCUGAGACUGGGUAGUUUAUAAA
rnacentral:lncRNA from 1 species